rnacentral:rRNA from 1 species
UAGUGUAUAAUAAAGUUGUUGCGGUUAAAACGCUCGCAGUUGGUUGACAAAAGUUGCCACUUGUAUGGUCAAUUAUAACCUAUACAAGUUGGUGACUUUUUUUAUUGCAAAUUAUGUCAAUUUUCUUAAUUGCAACUUGACAUUCAUUUGCAUAAUGUGCCUUGAAUAAACUAAAGUGCUCAAUGCAAGCUUAUGCUCGCAUAACAAAACAUGGAACGAACUAAACCUAAUCCAGCUUGGUUGGUUGGUCCAACUCUUUUGAUUUGAAAAUUUGUUACAUCACAACAUGCUUUUUAUUGCUGAGAAUUUCAUCAUUUGCGCUCAAACGCAAAUGAUGUAUCGCUCAAUCAUUUGUAUUGUUGUUGCUCUGUGACUCAGGAUCUGUCUCUUGAGAACCAAGCUGGAUCCAGAUUAAAAGAAGCAAUUGAGGGCGUUGGUACUGGGCAGCGAGAGGUGAAAUUCAUAGACCUGCCCAAGACUUACGAAAGCGAAGGCAUACCGCCAAAUUUGUUUUCAUUAAUCAUGAGCGAAUGUUGAGGGAUCAAAGACGAUUAGACACCGUCGUAGUCUUAUACAGUAAACUAUGCCCACCUGAGGU